GAUCCUGCUGGCGGCUGCGGCUCUCCGAUUUGCACUAAGACAUGCUAGUUUUUUGGUUUCUUUUAGAAGUUGAAGGCGAACUGCUCAGUAACACGUAGCUAAUCUACCCUUAGGUCGAGGAUACCCUCGGGAAACUGAGGUUAAUACUCGAUAUGGAAUAUACACUGGAAGGAUUUAUUCUUGAAAUUCGAGCCUAAGGAUGAGGCUGCGGCGGAUUAGGUUGUUGGCGGGGUAAUAGCCCACCAAGCCGAAGAUCCGUAAGGGCUUUUAGCGAAGGAGCCCUGAGAGGGAAUCUGAGACACUAUUCCCAGCCCUACGGGGUGCAGCAGUUAGGCAUAAUCUACAAUGCGCGAAAGCGUGAUAGUUUGAGUCGGAGUGCGUCCCAAUUUGGGAUGCUUUUCUAUACUCUAAAAAGGUAUAGGAAUAAGGACUGGGUAAGACGAGUGCCAGCCGCCGCGGUAAUACUCGCGGUCCAAGUCGCAGCCAUUUUUAUUGGGUCUAAAACAUCCGUAGCUUGCUAGGUGAGUUCCUUGUGAAAUUCUAUAUCUCAAAUAUAGAGCGAGCAGGGAGUACUGCCUGGCUAGAGACUGGAAGACGUAACGAGUACGUUCAAAGUAGCGGUAAAAUGUGUUAAUCUUGGACGGACUAACAACAGCGAAGGCACGUUACGAGGACAGUUCUGACAGUAAGGGAUGAAGGCUAGGGGCGCAAAACGGAUUAGAUACCCGUGUAGUCCUAGCAGUAAACACUGCACACUAAACAUUAGUACCUCCUCGAGAGGUAUUGGUGCUGAAGCGAAGGCGAAGAGUGUGCUACCUGGGAAGUAUAGUCGCAAGGCCGAAACUUAAAGGAAUUGGCGGGGAGACACUACAACGAGUGACGCGUGCGGUUCAAUUAGAUUUUACACCGUGAACCUCACCAGGAGCGACAGCAGAAUGAAGGUCAGUCUGAAGGGCUUACCUGACACGCUGAGAGGAACUGCAUGGCCAACAUAAGCCUGUGCCGUGAGGUGACUUGUUAAAUCAAGUAACAGGCAAGACCC
rnacentral:rRNA from 1 species